AAAAUCGGGUUGCAGUUUAAUUUUAACUUGACCACAAUUUCGCCGAAGCAGUGCAUUUUUUGCCGGUGAGUUUCGGUUGGCCAUUUCGGGGGUAAACGGCAAUAUUAAGCCCCAAUACUUCAGGGAAACCUUAUUUUAGCCUAUAUAAACAUAUGUAAACCUUUACAUUGCAAGAAAAGUCACAAAAAUGGUGGUUUGGAUUUGCACCCGUGGUUGGCAGUAUAUGCCGAACCUAUUGUAUACCUUGUGUAAUAUUGCUUAUUCUACAUAUUUUUUUAGUACUAGAAGACA